GUGGAUCUCUAGGUCGUUGAUUUUUGGGCGUACUUCGAAAUAAGCUGGUUGGUUAGUUGAACUUUACUUCGCUUGUUCCCAAAGAGUAAACUUUACCUGGCUUUUUGAUAGGGUGCUAAAAUGCUAGGUAGCUUUUUUUCAUUAAUUAGGUUAAAAGGCAAAGCCAAGUGAACUGAAACAUCUUAGUAACUUGGAUUUUUAUCAAAAGAUUUUACCGUAAAUAGUGGUGAGCGAACGCGGUAUUAAUUAAACGUAAUAUUUUAUAAUAUAACCGUAGAAGGUUUUAGUCCUGUGCGUUUAAUAUUGUUUGAGCUUGCAUAAACGUAAAACAUGUUACGUUUGUUUUUUAAAGGACCACCUUUAUAAGCUUUAAACUUGUUUGAUCGAUGGACCGAUAGUGAAUAGUACCGUGAGGGAACGAUUGAAAAGAACUCACUUUGAGAUUGAAAUUAGAUUGUGAAACUGUUCUAAACUUUCAGUUCUUAAAAAGAAAUUACCUUUUGUAUAAUGGCUCAGUGAGUUUUUUUUAGAAGCAAGCUUAAUUUUUGUUAUAAGUAGGCGAAGCGAAAGCGAGUAUUAAAAUGCGACUUAGUUUCUAAAAAAAGACCCGAAACGAGGUGAUCUAGCCGAGGGCAGACUGAAUGCCGAAAGGUUGGAAGGUUGAACCCGUGUAUGUUGCAAAAUACUGGGAUGACCUUCGGUUAGGGGUGAAAAGCCAAACGAACUUCGAGAUAGCUGGUUUUCCGCGAAAAAUAUUUAGGUAUUGCCUUGGUUUUAAUUUAACGUUUGAAGGUAGAGCCACUUUUUGAAUCAGGGGGGCUUCGGCUUACUCUGUUCAAAUAAACUCCGAAUGGCAACGUUAUAAACUCAAGAGUCAGACUAUUGGUGAUAAGGUCAUUAGUCAAGAGGGAAACAGCCCAGAACGCUUAGUAAGGUCUUAGAACUCGAGUAAAGUUUAAAGCUACGAUAGAUUUUUGACAGCAGACAAGUUGGCUUGGAAGCAGCCAUCUUUUAAAGAAAGCGUAACAGCUCAUCUGCCGAUUGAUUUUGAGAGCUGAAAAUUUAUGAGCUUUUUUCUCGAUACCGAACUUGCGGAUUUAUGGUAGCGGAACGUUUCGUGUGCCUAUUGAAGGACUGUCGUGAGGUAGUCUUGGAGGUCUCGAAAUUGCUUAUACUGAGAUGAGUAACGAAAAACAAAGAUAAAAGCUUUGUCGCCUUAAGCCCUAUGGUUUCUUUGAAGUUAAUUUCUCAAAGAAAGAGUCCGAUCUCUAAUUUUCGUGCGAAAGCUAAGAAAGAUGAGGUUUUAACUACUUUGGUGGGACAAAUCAUCUUUUUUGUGAUUGUAUAUUGCUAAAGGGAUGAUUUCAGGAAAAUCACUGGGGUUGUGAUUUUUUUCACAAAUUUAAAUCGUACUAAAACCGACACAGGUGGGCUGGUUUUAAAAAACUAAGGCGUUUGAGAGAACAAUUUAGAAGGAACUCGGCAAAAUGGUUUCGUAACUUAGGGAUAAGAAAAACGUUUAAAAAGACAACUUUCUAAACGUGCACAAAAAAGAGGAGAGCGACUGGUUAACAAAACCACAGGACCCUGCAAAAUGUAAAAUACUGUAUAGGGUCUGACGCCUGCCCGGUGCUAAUUGGCCAAGUAGAAAGGUGCAAGCUUUUCUUUUAAGUCGUAGUAAACGGCAGCAGUAACUCUAACUGUUCGAAGGUAGCGAAAUUCCUUGUUUGUUAAUUGCAAACCUGCAUGAAUGGCGUAACGACUCUCCUACUGUCUCCUAAAUUGACUCAGUGAAAUUGAAUUUUGUGUGAAGAUGCGCAAACAGCUUAGAUGGACAAGAAGACCCUUUAGAUCUUUACUAUAGCCGGUUAUUGCCAUUCGUUUGAAGUUGUUCAGUCUAGGUGGGAGUUUUUAACGGCAAUGAGAAACCACCCUGCUUUAAUUUAAUGGCUUAUAAUUUUAUUUAGACAGUGAUCGGUGGGUAGUUUACCUGGGGUGGGUGACUCCUAAAAAGUAACGGAGUUGCGCAUAAGGUAAGUUAAAAUUGAAAGGAGAUCAAUUUUUAGUGUAACGGCGUUAAGCUUACUUGACCGCAAGAUUGACAGAUCGAGCAGAGAUUUUUAGUCGGCCGUAAUGACCCGUCAAUGCUUAGUGGAAAGGUUGACGAUCAACGGAUAAAAGAUACCUAAGGGAUAACAGGCUGAUGGUCACUACGAGUUCUUAUCUACGUGACCGUUUGGCACCUCGAUGUUGACUCGUCUCAUCCUCGCGCUGUAUCAGGUGCGAAGGGUCCAACUGUUCGUUGGUUAAAGAGGUACGUGAGUUGAGUUCAGAACGCCGUUAGGCAGUUCGGUUUAUAUCCUCUAAGCUUGUAGCAAUUGAGGAACUGCUUUUCUAGUACGAGAGGACCGAAAAGUAUUAGCCUAUUGUUUGAUAAUUGUCAUUCGGCACUGUUAUUAAGCUACGCUAACGAAAAAUAAUCGCUGAAAGCAUCUCAAGCGAGAAGUUCAUUCCAAAAAAUUGCUUUAAGAUCGGCUUUUUAUGUUUGCUUUGAUAGG
rnacentral:rRNA from 1 species